rnacentral:tRNA from 1 species
AGCCGGAAUAGCUCAGUUGGUAGAGCAGAGGACUGAAAAUCCUCGUGUCACCAGUUAAAAUAGGUCCCCAGUUCAAAUCGGUGAUUCGGGUGCAUAGCAAAUA